rnacentral:lncRNA from 1 species
UAGGCUCAGCUAUUGAUUUCUGGUGGAGGUGGGCUGUUUAACCAUUGAUUUAUGAUGGGUUUACGGGUGAUUUGAGCUAAUUUUGAUUGAGAUCAGUGAUGAGGGCCCCUUCCCGGUGAAGGACGUCAUAUCGAUGUUCUCUGGCGACUGUGUUGCCGGAACAGUAACCAAACGCGACUCUACCUCCCCUUUUGAUCCUCACCUCUACCUCUCACUCGAUUUCACUCUCUCUCUCUCUUUUUGGUUUCUCCCGAUUUCUCCCUUCUCCCUCUCUGAUUUUCUCACUCUUGAUUUCUCCAAUCUCUCCUUGUUUUUUUCACUCUCUCCAUCUCAACUUCCCUUGUCCCUCGCUAUUUUUCUCGAUUGUCUACUGUGUGUAUUGUCAAUCUAUGAGUGUAUUGGUCAUUUUGGGUGAAGAAUUAUAGAGAAUAUGAUAUGUGU